AAUGAACGCUGGCGGCAGGGCUAAAACAUGCAAGUCGAACGAGUGGCGGACGGGGGGGUAAUGUCUGGGAAACUGCCUGAUUGAGGGGGAUAAGUACUGGAAACGGUAGCUAAUACCGCAUACCAUCGGAUGUGCCCAGAUGGGAUUUGCGAGUAGGUGGGGGAACGGCUCACUUAGGCGACGAUCCCUAGCUGGUCUGAGAGGAUGACCAGCCACACUGUAACUGAUACACGGUCCAGACUCCUACGGGAGGCAGCAGUGGGGAAUAUUGCACAAUGGGCGCAAGCCUGAUGCAGCCAUGCCGCGGGUAUGAAGUAGGCCUUCGGGUUGUAAAGUACUUUCAGCGGGGAGGCGUUACCCGCAGAAGAAGCACCGGCUAACUCCGUGCCAGCAGCCGCGGUAAUAC
rnacentral:rRNA from 1 species